GGUGGGAUAGAUGAUUGGGGUGAAGUCGUAACAAGGUAGCCGUAUCGGAAGGUGCGGCUGGAUCACCUCCUUU
rnacentral:ncRNA from 1 species